AGCAGGCUGGGCUUAGGGAUCUAUUGUUCCCUGUUUUAUUACUGCAAGAGCUCAUUCUCUCUCAUUAAGUAGCCAGGGGAGAAAGAGAAACACAGAGAUAGAGGAGAGGAGGAAACCUCACCCUUGCUUGCUCAGGAUUACUUCUUGGCCGGAGUGGUGUGGACAAAGCAGACAAUUCACUUGAGUACAGCGCUCUACCUCGUGGCCAGGCUCACAUUUUCCUCUCGACUGCAUUUGGAACACAAGUACUUAUCGUGCGGGGGCCAUGGGGGUGGUCGGCAGAGCCAUAGGGAUGCAAGGGGUCUUGAAAGGAGCCCCACUCUUCUCUCUCUGGAGGUUAGCGAUGCUCUUUUUCUCCAUGUGGGAACUGGAUGCACAAACUGCAGUGGAAACUAGACCCAUAUACAUCUGGCAAACAGGUCCAUGGGGUCGUUGCAUGGGAAGUGAGUGUGGUCCUGGAGGUAGCCAGAGUAGGGCAGUAUGGUGUGCUCAUUCUGAAGGCUGGACCACCCUGCAUACCAACUGUGACCAAGCAGAGCGACCAGAAAACCAGCAGAGCUGUUUCAGAGUGUGUGACUGGCACAAAGAUCUAUAUGACUGGCAGCUGGGUGCUUGGAACCAGUGUGUUCCAGUGUCAAUGCGCAGUGCCGGGGUGCAGCGCCCUGCUGUGUGCACUCGGGGAGAGGAAGGCAUCCAGACCCGUGAGGUGGGCUGUGUUCAAAAAGCAAAUGGUGAGCCUGCUGAAGAUGCAAUCUGUGAAUACUUUGAGCCCAAGCCACGCUUAGAGCAAGCCUGCCUUAUCCCCUGUCCUCACGACUGUGUGGUGUCUGAAUUUAGCCCAUGGAGUCCCUGUUCUAAGACCUGUGCAUUAGGCUUACAGAACCGGAUCCGCUUCGUUCUAACUCCACCAUUGUUUGGUGGGGCAGCCUGCCCAAAUCUGACUGAAUUUCAGACAUGCCAACUAGGUCCCUGUCAUGGAGAGGAGAGCUUUUAUAGCCUAAGGGUGGGUCCUUGGGGCCCGUGCUCUGUUCCACUGCCAAGGCAAGCCAGACAAGCAGACAAACCACCAAAAAAAUCCAGGGAAAGUGAUACACUUUCUAAAGAGGGGGACAAGCAGUCCAAAGAGGGAGAAAAAUCACCCAGAGGAGGUGGCAAACAGGCCAGAGAGGGUGAAAAAACACCUACACUUAAAAGAAAACUGGGCAGGACAAACAGGAAACCGGAUAGGCCAUCCCGACAGGCCGAUCGCCCCAAACGACAAAAAAAAGCUAAAAACAAGGAGAAAAGAGAAAAAAUGAGAGAGAAAAUCCAAGAGAGGUUAAGGGAGAGGGGCAAGACAAAGGAUCCUGAGACACGAGAACUCAUCAAAAAGAAGAGGAACAAGAACCGUCAGAACCGCCCGGGAGGAAAGUUCUGGGACCUACAAAUUGGUUAUCAGACCCGAGAAGUGACCUGUGUGCAUAGGAGUGGGACUGUUGAAGCUCUCAGUCUGUGCUCUCAGGAGACUUUGCCAGUGACAUACCAGGCUUGUGUGAUGGCCAAAGACUGUGAUGUAACUGAAUGGUCCGAAUGGUCUCCUUGCUCCAAGAAGUGCUAUGACUCCAAUGGUCCCAAGGGGGAGCGGACUCGCACCAGGAAAGUGAACCAGUUCCCAGCAGGUGGAGGGGCAGAUUGUCCACAGCUGGAGGAGAAGGAGCCCUGCAGUCCCCCAGGUGAUGUGGCUCCACCCUGCAUUGUGUACAGCUGGAAGACCACAGACUGGACAGAGUGCAAGGUGGACGUGCUACUGAGCCAGCAGGACCGCCGGCGUGGAAACCAGACAGGAUUGUGCGGAGGCGGGACUCAGACCCGUGAGGUCUACUGUGUGCAAGCCGGCACUGAUACACCACCAAACCUUAGCCCUCUCAGGAGCAAAGAAGCACUGCGGCCAGUGGACAAUAAUCUCUGUCUGGGUGUUCCUCCAAACACCACCCAACUCUGCCACAUAAGCUGUCCUGUUGAGUGUGAGGUAUCUUCUUGGAGUGCGUGGGGACCCUGCACGUAUGAAAACUGUCAAGACCAGGUAGCCAAAAAAGGGUUUAAACUGAGGAAGAGGAGGAUUGUCAAUGAACCAACAGGUGGGACAGGGAACUGUCCCCACCUGUUGGAGGCUAUACCCUGUGAAGAUCCUAUUUGCUUUGACUGGCUGGUGGUUAAACUGGAGGAGUGUAUCCCUGAUAAUGGCAAGGAGUGUGGACCAGGAACCCAAAUCCCUCAAGUCCAGUGUGUCAACAGUGAUGGUGAAUAUUUGGACAGACAACUCUGCCGGGAUGCCAUCCUUCCUAUGCCAUUUAUUUGCGAGGUGCCUUGCUCCAAGGACUGUGCCUUGAGCCCCUGGACCCCCUGGUCUCUCUGCUCCCACACCUGCUCUGGAAAAAACACAGAGGGCAAGCAGACCAGAGCUCGUUCCAUCCUUGCCUAUAAUGCAGGAGAAGGAGGAAUCCAAUGUCCCAACGUCAGUGCCCUGCAGGAGGUGAGGAGCUGCAAUGACCAUCCCUGUACUGUGUACCACUGGCAAACUGGUCCUUGGGGGCAGUGCAUUGAGGACUCUUCCAUUCCAUCAGCCAACACAUCUGUGGGCCGUACACGUGGGGAUGAUGUUUCUUGUUCUGUGGGGAUGCAAACCCGGAAAGUCAUAUGUGUCCGGGUGAAUGUGGGCCAGGUUCCUCCCAAAAAGUGCCCAGAGAGUGUUCGUCCAGACACCGUCAGGCCCUGUUUACUGCCAUGCAAGAGAGACUGUAUUGUCACCCCAUACAGCGACUGGAGCCCCUGUCCAUCAGUGUGUCGAACAGGUGGUAGCACUAAGAAGAAGCAGUACAGGAAACGGAUUAUCAUUCAAUUGCCGGCAAAUGGGGGACAGGACUGCCCUGAGGUGCUGACCCAGGAAAGAGAUUGUGAGGCUCCCUCUGCCUGUGAGGGAUACAGAUGGAAAACCCAUAAGUGGCGAAGAUGUCAGCUGGUUCCGUGGUCUGUUCGGCAGGAAAGUCCAGGCGCUCAGGAGACCUGUGGGCCAGGCCUGCAGGUUCGAGCUGUUUCAUGCCGGAAGCAGGAUGGUGGGCAAGCAAACAUUGAAGCUUGUCUUAAGUUUGCUAGCUCCAUGCCGCCUCUUACCCAGCCCUGUCAGGUGCCCUGCCAGGAAGACUGUCAACUCAGCAGCUGGUCCAAGUUUUCUUCCUGCACAGCAGACUGCGUGGGCGUCAGAACCCGCAAGAGGAUGCUAGUGGGGAGAAGCAGAAAGCAUGACCAGUGUAAGAACAACCAGCUAUAUCCCCUAAGCGAGACCCAGUACUGCCCGUGUAAUAAAUAUAAUGCUCAGCCAGUGGGCAACUGGUCAGACUGUAUCCUUCCCGAGGGUGGUCAGGUGGAGGGUCAACUUGGCAUUAAGGUACAAGGUGACAUCAAAGAGUGCGGCCAAGGAUACCGCUACCAAGCCAUGGUGUGCUAUGACCAGGACAACCGCAUAGUGGAGACUUCUCGUUGCAACAGCCAUGGGUAUAUUGAGGAAGCCUGCAUCAUUCCUUGUCCAUCUGACUGCAAACUGAGUGAGUGGUCCAACUGGUCCCGUUGUAGCAAAUCAUGUGGCAGUGGGGUCAAAGUUCGCUCCAAGUGGCUCAGAGAAAAGCCGUACAAUGGUGGCAGGCCUUGCCCUAAAUUGGACCAUGUCAACCAGGCUCAGGUCUAUGAGGUGGUGCCUUGUCUCAGUGACUGUGGACAGUAUGUCUGGGUGGCAGAGCCUUGGAGUGUAUGGAAAGUCAUCAAUGUGGACCAGAAGGACAACUGUGGUGAAGGUGUUCAGACACGAAACGUCAAGUGCAUGCUUAACACUAUAGAUGGGCCCUCUGAACAGGUAGAGGACUACUUGUGUGACCCAGAGGAGAUGCCUCUGGGGGCCCGCAAGAGCCGGCUGCCCUGCCCAGAGGACUGUGUGUUUUUGGACUGGGGCGCCUGGAGCCCAUGUCCCCUGCUCUGUAGUGAGAACAGCACUCGGGAGAGGACAGCUUACCCGCUCCGCCUGCCAGAAGAGAAGGAGUGUCCUCCAAUUAAAGAGACAGAGCCAUGCAAACUCAACAGGAACUGCUUCCACUACUCCUACAACAUCACUGACUGGAGUACCUGUCAGCUUAGUGACAAAGCAGUGUGUGGAAAUGGAAUCAAAACCCGCAUGCUGGACUGUGUGCGUAGUGAUGGUAAAUCUGUAGACCUCAACUUCUGCAAUGAGCUGGGUCUGGAGAGAAAGUGGCAAAUGAAUGCAUCCUGUGUUGUGGAAUGCCCUGUGAACUGCCAGUUAUCUGACUGGUCACCAUGGUCUGAGUGCUCUCACACUUGUGGACUGGCAGGCAAACUGUGGAGGAGACGGACAGUGAUCCAAGCUCUGCAGGGUGACGGGAGGCCGUGUCCAUCCCAGAUGGAACAGUGGAAGCCCUGCCUGGUGAAGCCCUGCUACAGCUGGAGAUACAGCGCCUGGUCUGAGUGCAAGUCUGAGGGAGCGAGGUGUGGAGAAGGUCUGAGAUUCAGGAACAUGUCGUGCUUUGUGUCAGACGGGUCAGGUGGGCAGGAUGGUAGUCUGGUGGAUGAUGAGCUGUGUGGAGAUCUGGAUCCCUCAGUGGAUGGAGACACACACAUGGUUCUGCAGGAACCCUGUACUGUACCCUGUCCAGGAGAGUGCUACUUGACAGACUGGACUGUUUGGAGUUCAUGCCACCUAAGCUGCAUAAAUGGGGAUGACCUGGGUUUUGGUUCCGUCCAAGUCCGAUCGAGAGCUGUAGUGGCCCAGGAUCCAGAGAACCUGCUACAGUGUCCAGAACAGGAACUUGAGGCACGACCAUGUACAGAUGGUGAAUGUUUUGAAUACAAGUGGAAAACUGGACCAUGGAGAGGCUCAUCUCGGCACGUCUGGUGUCAGCGUUCUGAUGGUCUCAAUGUCACAGGUGGAUGUCUGGCAACAGCCAAACCAAUGGCAGACCGCUCCUGUAACCCACCAUGCACCAAGCCACAGUCCCUGUGCACAGAGGCAGGUGUUUGUGGCUGUGAAGAGGGCUACACUGAAGUGAUGACAUCUGACGGCUUGCUGGACCAAUGCACCGUCAUUCCAGUGCUAGAGAUCCCCACUGCAGAUGACAGCAAAGCUGAUGUUAAGACCAUCCGAGCCUUCAACCCUACCCAGCCUGCAGUCAGCCCACCAGGCAGGGUGGGACGCACCUGGUUCCUACAGCCCUUUGGGCCAGAUGGGAAGCUGAAAACCUGGGUGUAUGGAGUAGCAGCAGGAGCAUUUGUGCUGCUCGUCUUUAUAAUCUCCAUGACAUACUUAGCAUGUUGUUGUGGUCGUUGCCUUUGCUGCAAGUCAAGCUCCAAGUCCCCCUCAGGCAGGGUUUAUUGGAUGGAGCAAAACAGCUACACAGUGCCUUACACCUGUCCUGCCUGCCAGAAACUAGAGCAAGAGGAGUUAAAGCGGUGCAACGAACAGCAACAGCAGCAGCAACAAAAACAGCAGCACUAUGAGGCACAGCUCUCAAAGCCUCCAUCAUCACAACAACAUCCACAACCACAGCAGUCACUGCCACACCCAGCACCUCCCUUUGAAACUCUUAUCACUUAGUCAGGGUCUUACUCAAACCCCGUUCCUCUCCAUGUGACAUCUCCAUGUGUCCAAACACCCAGAGUGCUUGUUCAGUCAUUUCAGUGGAUCACCUACUGGAGCAAAAAGCCAAAGAAGCCACCGCGACGUCAGAUGAACAACAGACUGAAGCCACUGACUCUGGCUUACGAUGGAGACGCGGACAUGUAGAAGUCUUCCUGCUCAACAUGCUGGUCUACAGACAUUUGUCCUCUUUCAGGAAACACUGCGUUGCUAUGGAAACCCCUUGAUAGCAGAGCUGCCGCUGAGCAUUGAUCACAUGCAGAUGGGGAAAACACGGCUGUCAAUGAAUGCGGAUUCAGUCUUGAUCUUUGAGGUUUCCAUUUCUGUCAGAAUCUUCAUCUGUUUUUUUUUUUUUUUUUCGUUUUGGUACUUUAUUUUACAAGAACCUUCAGAAAUUCUUUAUUUUCUGCUGCAAGUCUGCCUUUGCUUCACUGCCAUCUACUACUGCCUGCAACAAUUAAACCACAGUCACCGAAGAGGGUCUCCCCAGAACAAAUACUGCUGUGAAAGGAUCAAUCUUCAUAUGUUAUUACUUCAUUUUUUCGCAGCUCAGUGAUAUCCUCGUGAUAUCACUCGUUCUGUGUCCCACGAACAUUCAAAGCCCUCUGCAUCAUUAUGGCCUGGGUGCAUCUCACAAGAAAAAUAUGAUGAGGAGACAAAAAGAGCUUGAUAAUUCCCAGAGCCAGCAUCACUUCUGCCUGCCUCUCUCUUCAUUUUUCAGGAAUAAUUUUGCACUAUAUUAGUGCAGCAUGAUAUGUACUUAUAUCUAGCUUUGCCAUAGGAAACUGCCUCUCUCAAUACAGAUGUUGUACAGCCUUGUGCUAGAAAUGUACAAAUGUAGGCUUUUUUGCAAACAAAGACUCACCAAUGUUUGUAAUUAUUUUUCUUCUAUUGCCUCUUCUACAUGAUUUCAUGGGACUUUUUUCCUGUGGUCUCAACUUUAUCUUUCUAUUAUGUAUCUCCCAAACUCUGCCAGCGUUAAUGUAAUAUCUGACAAUUUUUUGACUGUAACUUACCGAUAUGAUUUUUAUCUUUGUAAAUUCUUAAUAUAUAUCACAAUCUUCUGUGGAAAAUACAAACAUUACGAAAGCCUUUGACUAUGAAAGGGGAGAAACAAAGACCGAGUCCAAACCUAAACAUGGAAGAUAAGUUCAUCUUGACACCGUCUCUUUGAUCUCCAACAACUUUCAGUUGUUGCUGAAAUAUUACAUUUAACAAAAUUUUUUACUUUCCCACCAUUUUGUAAUAGUUUACCAUUGCAAAGAAUGGCUUCACUAAUGGUUAAAAGAUUUGGGCCACUUGUUCUUUACUUCUGAUCAUGUAGGGAGCCAGUGCAGAGCUUGGUUCUGCACUGGCUAUGUGGUGAAGUUGGGCGUCUCUCAGCCUGCCAACCCCAAAGCUGAUCAUUCUAAAGUCUUUUUACUAAUAUGUAACGUAAGAAUAUGAUAUUUUCCUCAAAAAUAGUGAAUUGGAAUUUGGUACAUUAACAUUUUUCUUCUACACUUCUUCCCUACACGUCUUGUGAAUACAUUUGAUUCUUGAGUCAUUUUGGAUUUUUGGUUCUCUGCUAGCCAAUAUUGCCCCUCCAGUCUAAUGUUUUCUGCAGUUUAUAUUAUCAGUGGAGAUUGAUCUUAUCAAAUCUACUGAAGAACAUUCAGAGCAAACUGAAGCAUUAAUUAUUUCUUUCAGGUUUCAUUCAUCCAUUCAUGAUGAGUUAUACUGAAUGGACUCGUCAGUAAUGUGUUUCUGGUGUUAAACAGUAAUUGGUCUUUCAGCCCUUGAACUUUUGGUAUCAGAGGAUGGUGAAAGAACAUUUCCAACUUCUCUAUUAAUUUCAAACAGUUCAGGAAGAAUAACUGUAUAGGAAUGUUUUGAAGUGAAAAUGGAGAGCAUAGUGCACUCCCUGAUUUAACUUCCUGAUGUAAGCUGAAAGUUCAGUCACUCGGAGUGGGUAGUGUUUUAUUUAUUAGUACUGAGACGUCAUAUCAUUGCCAGAGAAUGGCGCUUUAAUAUUUUGUGGAGUUUGUUGCCAGUAAACGGAAUGUUUAAUUUAUAUUACUUGGAAAAUGAGUUGUAAAUAAAGUUCUUUUUUUAAAAAGAAAAAUAAUGAUCAUGUACCAUGAUGUUUCCUUUUUUACUGAGGUUAUACAAAAAAGACAAUGAAAGAAAGAAAAAAAAAAUGAAAGCAUGAAUGUGGGUGUGCUAAAAGUGAUAACCUUGUGAAAAACAAGUCAAGUUUUCCUACUGUUUGUUUAUAUGUA